ACAUGUCCUUUUGUUAUUUAUAUAAGGUUUGGCCUGCCCAAUGAUUAUUUUUAAUGGCCGCGGUAUUUUAACCGUGCUAAGGUAGCAUAAUCAUUUGUCUUUUAAUUGAGGGCUGGAAUGAAGGGCUGGACGAGAUAUUAACUUUCUUUAGUUUAGUUUAUUGAAUUUGAUUUUUGAGUUAAAAAGCUUAGAUGUGUUUGUUGGACGAGAAGACCCUAUAGAUCUUUACAUUUAUUUUAUUUGUGGUGUUUGGUAUAUGAGAUAGGAGUUAGUAUUAGUAGUGUUUGGUUGGGGUGGUUGUAGAAUAAGAAUAGCUUCUAUUUUGAUUAUUUUCAUUAGUUAGUGUUUAUUUGAUCCAUUUAUAGUGAUUAAAAGAUUAAGUUACCUUAGGGAUAACAGCGUAAUUUCUUCGGAGAGUUCAUAUUGAUGAAGGGGUUUGCGACCUCGAUGUUGGAUUAAAAUAAGUUCUGAGUGCAGAAGCUUAUGGACUAGGUCUGUUCGACCUUUUAAUUUUU
rnacentral:rRNA from 1 species